rnacentral:rRNA from 1 species
CGAAUUCCAAGCUUAGAGUUUGAUCAUGGCUCAGAUUGAACGCUGGCGGCAUGCCUUACACAUGCAAGUCGAACGGCAGCACGGACUUCGGUCUGGUGGCGAGUGGCGAACGGGUGAGUAAAGCAUCGGAACGUGCCCGGUAGUGCGGGAUAGCUCGGCGAAAGCCGGAUUAAUACCGCAUGAGAUCUACGGAUGAAAGCAGGGGAUCUGCAAGGACCUUGCGCUACUGGAGCGGCCGAUGUCAGAUUAGGUAGUUGGUGGGGUAAAGGCUCACCAAGCCUGCGAUCUGUAGCUGGUCUGAGAGGAUGAUCAGCCACAUCGGGACUGAGACACGGCCCGAACUCCUACGGGAGGCAGCAGUGGGGAAUUUUGGACAAUGGGCGCAAGCCUGAUCCAGCCAUGCCGCGUGCAGGAUGAAGGCCCUCGGGUUGUAAACUGCUUUUGUACGGAACGAAAAGGCGCCUUCUAAUAAAGGGUGCACAUGACGGUACCGUAAGAAUAAGCACCGGCUAACUACGUGCCAGCAGCCGCGGUAAUACGUAGGGUGCGAGCGUUAAUCGGAAUUACUGGGCGUAAAGCGUGCGCAGGCGGUCUUGCAAGACAGUGGUGAAAUCCCCGGGCUCAACCUGGGAACUGCCAUUGUGACUGCAAGGCUGGAGUACGGCAGAGGGGGAUGGAAUUCCGCGUGUAGCAGUGAAAUGCGUAGAUAUGCGGAGGAACACCGAUGGCGAAGGCAGUCCCCUGGGCCUGUACUGACGCUCAUGCACGAAAGCGUGGGGAGCAAACAGGAUUAGAUACCCUGGUAGUCCACGCCCUAAACGAUGUCAACUGGUUGUUGGGGAUUCACUUCCUCAGUAACGAAGCUAACGCGUGAAGUUGACCGCCUGGGGAGUACGGCCGCAAGGUUAAAACUCAAAGGAAUUGACGGGGACCCGCACAAGCGGUGGAUGAUGUGGUUUAAUUCGAUGCAACGCGAAAACCUUACUCACCUUUGACAUGUAUGGAAUCCCGAGAGAUUUGGGAGUGCUCGCAGAGAGCCAUAACACAGGUGCUGCAUGCUGUCGUCAGCUCGUGUCGUGAGAUGUGGGUAGUCCGCACGAGCGCACCUGCAUCAGUGCUACGAAGGCACUCUGAUGGACUGCCGGUGACAACCGAAGAAGGUGGGAUG